AGCUCCAAUAGCGUAUAUUAAAGUUGUUGCAGUUAAAAAGCUCGUAGUUGGAUUUCUGUUUUGAGCGUCCGGUCCGUCUCUAGGGAUGUGUUACUAGGAUGUUUGAGACAUUUUUUGUGAGGAUGUCUUUCUGCUAUUCAGUUAGUGGUUGGAUAGACUUGCAUCGUUUACUGUGAAAAAAUUAGAGUGUUUAAAGCAGGCGUUUGCUCAUUGAAUACAUUAGCAUGGAAUAAUAAGAUACGACCUUGGUGGUCUAUUUUGUUGGUUUGCACACCAGGGUAAUGAUUAAUAGGGACAGUUGGGGGUAUUCAUAUUUCAGCGUCAGAGGUGAAAUUCUUGGAUCGCUGAAAGAUGAGCUUAGGCGAAAGCAUUUACCAAGGAUGUUUUCA
rnacentral:rRNA from 1 species